UAACGCGUAGGCAACCUACCCUUUAGACGGGGACAACAUUCCGAAAGGAGUGCUAAUACCGGAUGUGAUCAUCGUGCCGCAUGGCAGGAUGAAGAAAGAUGGCCUCUACAAGUAAGCUAUCGCUAAAGGAUGGGCCUGCGUCUGAUUAGCUAGUUGGUAGUGUAACGGACUACCAAGGCGAUGAUCAGUAGCCGGUCUGAGAGGAUGAACGGCCACAUUGGGACUGAGACACGGCCCAAACUCCUACGGGAGGCAGCAGUGGGGAAUCUUCCGCAAUGGACGAAAGUCUGACGGAGCAACGCCGCGUGAGUGAUGAAGGAUUUCGGUCUGUAAAGCUCUGUUGUUUAUGACGAACGUGCAGUGUGUGAACAAUGCAUUGCAAUGACGGUAGUAAACGAGGAAGCCACGGCUAACUACGUGCCAGCAGCCGCGGUAAUACGUAGGUGGCGAGCGUUGUCCGGAAUUAUUGGGCGUAAAGAGCAUGUAGGCGGCUUAAUAAGUCGAGCGUGAAAAUGCGGGGCUCAACCCCGUAUGGCGCUGGAAACUGUUAGGCUUGAGUGCAGGAGAGGAAAGGGGAAUUCCCAGUGUAGCGGUGAAAUGCGUAGAUAUUGGGAGGAACACCAGUGGCGAAGGCGCCUUUCUGGACUGUGUCUGACGCUGAGAUGCGAAAGCCAGGGUAGCGAACGGGAUUAGAUACCCCGGU
rnacentral:rRNA from 1 species